UGGAGAGAAAUCACACUACCAUCAAAGACAACGGGUCAAAAAGAAUGCCGUCCUAAGCUGAGAAGCCAUCUUCCUAACGACAGCCAUGUAAUAUGAAAGGGAAAAACACACUGUUAUUGAAGAACUUAUCAGCUAUGUCACAUCUUCCACACAAAUACUCAGGAAAGUUAAAAGAAAAUUUUACCUCGGACACAGUUGAUGUACCUCAGUCUUGUACAAAACUUAGAACUCACUAAGUCUGAAAUAAGACUUUAAACUCUCUCUGAGGUGAAGUUGUAAUACAGUGAGAAUGAUAAUAUAUAGUAUAUUAGGAUUUACUUACUCCUGUGUUGUUCUGGACUAUAGACUGCCACACAUAUCAGAUGCACAUGACUGACAUGUAUAUCUUCAUUUUGCUAUUAUUUGUGGUGAACUAAUACAGGAUUUACUGUAAAAGUAUAAUAAUGCAGUAGCAAUAUACUAAUAAAUCAAUGCAGUUAAUAUACAA
rnacentral:misc_RNA from 1 species